rnacentral:rRNA from 1 species
AGCAUGUGGUUUAAUUCGAUGAUACGCGAGGAACCUUACCUGGGCUUUGAACGUAUGGUGCAUUAGGGUGAAAGCCCUAUUUCUAGCAAUAGACUUCAUACGAGGUGCUGCAUGGCUGUCGUCAGCUCGUGCCGUGAGGUGUUAGGUUAAGUCCUGCAACGAGCGCAACCCCUGUUUCCAGUUGCCAUCAAGUAAAGUUGGGGACUCUGGAGAGACUGCCUGCGCAAGCAGAGAGGAAGUGGGGAUGACGUCAAGUCAGCACGGCCCUUACGUCCAGGGCUACACACGUGCUACAAUGGCCGGUACAGAGGGCAGCGACCUGGUGACAGGUAGCGAAUCUCCAAAGCCGGUCUCAGUUCGGAUCGGAGUCUGCAACUCGACUCCGUGAAGCUGGAUUCGCUAGUAAUCGGAUAUCAGCAAUGAUCCGGUGAAUACGUUCCCGGGCCUU